ACGGAAGGCAGCAGUAAGGGAUAUUGGGCAAUGGGGGCGACCCUGACCCAGCCAUGCCGCGUGAGGGAAUGAGGCCCUACGGGUCGUGAACCUCUUUUGCCUGGGGAUAACGGCGUCCACGCGAUGGGCGCGUGCAGGUACCAGGCGAAUAAGCAUCGGCUAACUCCGUGCCAGCAGCCGCGGUAAUACGGAGGAUGCGAGCGUUAUCCGGAUUCAUUGGGUUUAAAGGGUGCGCAGGCGGUCCGUCAAGUCAGCGGUGAAAUCCGGGGGCCCAACCCCCGAAGUGCCGUUGAUACUGUCGGGCUGGAGUGCGGUCGAGGCGGGCGGAAUGUGGCGUGUAGCGGUGAAAUGCAUAGAUAUGCCACAGAACUCCGAUAGCGAAGGCAGCUCGCCAGGCCUGCAUUGACGCUCGGGCACGAAAGCGUGGGGAUCGAACAGGAUUAGAUACCCUGGUA
rnacentral:rRNA from 1 species